GCUGGGCAUGAUGGCACAUACCUGUAAUCCCAGAGAGCUGGGAGGCUGAGGCAGGAGGAUCACAAGAUUGAGGCCAACCCAAGAAACUUAGCGAGACCCUAAGUAACUUAGUGGGACCCUAUCUCAA
rnacentral:sRNA from 1 species